rnacentral:rRNA from 1 species
GAUGAACGCUAGCGAUAGGCUUAACACAUGCAAGUCGAGGGGCAGCAUGGUCUUAGCUUGCUAAGGCUGAUGGCGACCGGCGCACGGGUGCGUAACGCGUAUGCAACUUGCCUCACAGAGGGGGAUAACCCGUCGAAAGACGGUCUAAUACCGCGUACACUCUAUGUUGGGCAUCCAAUGUAGAGGAAAUGAAAUUCGCUGUGAGAUAGGCAUGCGUCCCAUUAGCUAGUUGGUGAGGUAACGGCUCACCAAGGCGACGAUGGGUAGGGGAACUGAGAGGUUGAACCCCCACACUGGUACUGAGACACGGACCAGACUCCUACGGGAGGCAGCAGUGAGGAAUAUUGGUCAAUGGGCGAGAGCCUGACCCAGCCAAGUCGCGUGAAGGAUGACUGUCUUAUGGAUUGUAAACUUCUUUUAUACGGGAAUAACAAGAGUCACGUGUGGCUCCCUGCAUGUACCGUAUGAAUAAGCAUCGGCUAACUCCGUG